UAGCGCUCGCACCCGCUGCGGUACCAGAGCAUCCGGGACCGGUGUGGCCGAGUGUCUGCAACCAUGGCGUCCUGGGCCUGUACGCGGCCUCAGCUCCCUGCUCUACGGCUCCAUCCCCAAGGCGGCCGCCAGGUUCGGAAUGUUCUGGUUCCUCAGCAACCACAUGCGGGUUUCCCAGGGACGCUGGACAGCACGCGCGGGCUGCUGUGCUGCCUGGGCGCUGGAGUGGCUGAGGCCGUGGUGAUCAUGUGCCCCAUGAAGACCAUCAAGGUGAAGUUCAGUCGCCACACCUACCUAAACCCCCAGUACAGAGGAUUCUUCCGCGGGUUAGGAAGAUUGUGCGGUAGCAAGGACUGAAGGGGCUGUAUCAGGGCCUCACAGUCACGGUGCUGAAGCAGGGCUGGAAUCAGGCCAUCUGCUUCUUCGUCAUGACAUUCCCUGCACAGUUGGUACGGAGGGGACAACCCCAACAAGCCUAUGAACGUGCUGAUCACUGGGGUCUUUGGAGCCAUGGUGUGCACAGCCAGCGUCUUUGGAAACACUCCUCUGGACGUGAUUAAGACCCGCAGGUAGGGCCUGGAGGCGCACAAAUACCGGAACUCGAUGGACUGCCUCUGGCAGAUCCUGAGAAAGGAGGAGCUCAAGGAUUCUACAAGGGCAUUGUCCCGCUCCGGGCCAGGUCAGCCUGCCUGGUUGUGGCCAUAGUGUUUAUCAUCUAUGACGAGGUGGUGAAGCUGCUCAACGAAGUGUGGAAGACGGACUAA